GCCUUGAUAGAUUAAUAGGCAGAUCAUCCCAACCCAGUGAACCUGGUUUCGACGAUUAUAAGGGAAGGUGGAGGUUCGAAUCCUCCCCGAGGCA